rnacentral:rRNA from 1 species
GACGAACGCUGGCGGCAGGCUUAACACCUGCAAGUCGAGCGAGCGGCGGACGGGUGAGUAAUGUCUGGGAAACUGCCUGAUGGAGGGGGAUAACUACUGGAACCGGUAGCUAAUAACGCAUACCAUCAGAUGUGCCCAUAUGGGAUGAGCUAGUAGGUGGGGUAAUGGCUCACAUAGGCGACGAUCCCUAGCUGGUCUGAGAGGAUGACCAGCCACACUGGAACUGAGACACGGUCCAGACUCCUACGGGAGGAAGCAGUGGGGAAGAUUGCACAAUGGGCGCAAGCCUGAUGCAGCCAUGCCGCGUGUGUGAAGAAGGCCUUCGGGUUGUAAAGCACUUUCAGCGAGGAGGCGUUACUCGCAGAAGAAGCACCGGCUAACUCCGGGCCAGCAGCCGCGGUAAUUC